rnacentral:rRNA from 1 species
CCAGGUCGAGUUGUAAUUUGUAGAUUGUAUCUUGAGAGCGGAUUAAAGUCUGUUGGAACACAGCGCCUUAGAGGGUGACAGCCCCGUAAAAUCUAUUCUCAUUGUAAGAUACUUUCGAAGAGUCGAGUUGUUUGGGAAUGCAGCUCUAAGUGGGAGGUAAAUUCCUUCUAAAGCUAAAUAUUGACGAGAGACCGAUAGCGAACAAGUACUGUGAAGGAAAGAUGAAAAGCACUUUGAAAAGAGAGUGAAAAAGUACGUGAAAUUGUUAAAAGGGAAGGGUAUUGAAUCAGACUUGGUGCUGUUGUUCAACUGUGUUUCGGCAUAGUGUACUCAGCAGUACUAGGCCAAGGUGGGGUGUUUGGGAGUGAAAAA